rnacentral:misc_RNA from 1 species
GAUGAAGAACGCAGCGAAAUGCGAUACGUAAUGUGAAUUGCAGAAUUCAGUGAAUCAUCGAGUCUUUGAACGCUCAUUGCGCCCCCUGGUAUUCCGGGGGGCAUGCCUGUCCGAGCGUCAUUGCUGCCCUCAAGCACGGCUUGUGUGUUGGGCCUCCGUCCUCCUCCCGGGGGACGGGCCCGAAAGGCAGCGGCGGCACCGCGUCCGGUCCUCGAGCGUAUGGGGCUUCGUCACCCGCUCUUGUAGGCCCGGCCGGCGCUUGCCGACACAUCAAUCUUUUUUCCAGGUUGACCUCGGAUCAGGUAGGGAUACCCGCUGAACUUAAGCAUAUCAAUAAGCGGAGGA